rnacentral:lncRNA from 1 species
GGCGGGGCGGCGGAAGCAGCGGGGGUGGCGGCACUGCUCCCGUCUCGCGGGAUGGAGAUCGGCGCAGGCGCGCGGCGGGCGGGCGGGCGAACUCGCGAGCACCGGCGGGGCGGCGGAAGCAGCGGGGGUGGCGGCACUGCUCCCGUCUCGCGGGAUGGAGAUCGGCGCAGGCGCGCGGCGGGCGGGCGAACUCGCGAGCCGAUCGAGGGCGAGAGGGGGAGUCGAAGCCGAGGGGACGGACGGAGAGAGAGAGAGGGGAGAG